UACAGAGGUCUCAAGCGUUGUUCGGAUUCAUUGGGCGUAAAGGGUGCGUAGGCGGCGCGGUAAGUCGGGUGUGAAAUCUUGGAGCUUAACUCCGAAACUGCAUUCGAUACUGCCGUGCUUGAGGACUGGAGAGGAGACUGGAAUUUACGGUGUAGCGGUGGAAUGCGUAGAUAUCUGGAGGAACACCGGGUGGCGAAGGCGGCAUCCUGGACCGGCAUUGACGCUGAGGCGCGAAAGCCAGGGGGAGCAAAGCGGG
rnacentral:rRNA from 1 species